GGGCCCCGCGGGGCUAGGGGCGGGGCACGAGGCGCCCCCUCCCCGCCCGGCGUCAUGGAAACCGCGGUCCCUCUCGGUUCUUACAGUGGUUCCCCGGCCGGGGGUCGCUGACCUUCCCCGGGGCAAAUUCAGAACGGCCGCUUCUCCGCCGGCUCCCGACCCCCCACGGUCUUCCGCGUGGAUGCCCUGCUUGACCCCCACCUUCCGGUCCUCGGGUACCACCCACGGUUAACGGGGCUCAUUCUUCCCAGUUUGGACACUCCACCUUUGUCUCUGAUGCGCCUUUGCCGGGAUGCACAGCCCUUUUUAAUGUCACUCACCUCCGAGGUUUCCCCGAGAUGCGGCCUCCGUUUCCUUUUCAGAUGUCCCCUUUUGAGCACCUCCAGGCCAUCUCGCUUAAGCGUUUCUUUCUGCCUUGCCCCCUUUCUCUCGUCCUCCUUCCGGCAGUCACGUGUUGGAUGUGCUACACCUUUAAUCCCAGCACUUUGGGAGGCAGAGGCAGGCAAACCUGUGUGAGUUCAAAGCCAGCCUAGCCCGUUCAACAAGGGAGUUCCAGGCCAGCCAGGACUGCAAAGAAAACAAACCAAAAACCACAUCACUCUUCUUCUGGCAAUGGAAUCAGGAGAGGACGUAAGCUUCUGCUGUCCCCAGAGGUCAGAGUAUUCUGGAUGUUCAGGAAGAAAGAGGCCACGGUACACAUAAUGGUCACUGUGGAAACUUGGCCAGGGACAUUAAAAUUGAUCAUGGGAUGGGAAUUAGCUGACCACCAAACAAACUGAAAACCAUUUAUUGCUGCUACUCAUGAUUUUGGGAACCGAGGGCCUCAGUGACAGCCUGUUAGAUUGUAGCCAUUAGGAGGCAAGGGUGGUUGACAUAAAUAGUAGCUUUUGUAGAUUAAUCUCCCAUUUUCAGUGUUGCACAUCUUUCAAAAGCCUUGUAAUAUAAGCAUUCUAAUUUUCAUCCUUAAUUUAUUGAUGAACAAAAUGCUAUUUAGACACCUAAGUGGAAGUCCACGUUAAUAGAAUUAACUCAUGGUAGAGACUCCUUGUCUUCUAAUUCCUAGUCUGUUUGGAGGAAGAGUAUGGCAGAAUAAUCAAAAGUAUAGAUUUGGGGUCAGGGUAGCUCAGUGGUAGUUCAGCUCCCUACAGCACAAAGCCUUGAAUUUAAUUCCUAGCACCGGAGGGGUGAGGGAAGGAAGGCAGCAGUGGGUUUGGAGUUAGACUCCCCAAGAUUAAGAUCUAGUCAGGAGCUGUGAGUGGUAGUUCACACAAGUCAUCCAAGUGCUCAGGAGGCUGCAGUGUGAAGGUUACAAGAAUAACCUGGACUACAGAGUGGGAGACUGUCUCAAACAGAUAAAUAAAAUCGAGUUUUGUUGUACGACCUUA